rnacentral:rRNA from 1 species
UGGGGGAUAUUGCACAAUGGAGGAAACUCUGAUGCAGCAACGCCGCGUGAGGGAAGAAGGUUUUCGGAUUGUAAACCUCUGUUUUUAGUGAAGAAACAAAUGACGGUAGCUAAAGAGGAAGCCACGGCUAACUACGUGCCAGCAGCCGCGGUAAUACGUAGGUGGCAAGCGUUGUCCGGAAUUACUGGGUGUAAAGGGUGCGCAGGCGGGAUAGCAAGUCAGCGGUGAAAUGCAUGGGCUUAACUCAUGAGCUGCCGUUGAAACUGUUAUUCUUGAGUGGAGUAGAGGCAGGCGGAAUUCCGAGUGUAGCGGUGAAAUGCGUAGAUAUUCGGAGGAACACCAGUGGCGAAGGCGGCCUGCUGGGCUCUAACUGACGCUGAGGCUCGAAAGUGU